UACGAAGGGGGCUAGCGUUGUUCGGAUUUACUGGGCGUAAAGCGCACGUAGGCGGAUCGUUAAGUCGGGGGUGAAAUCCUGGAGCUCAACUCCAGAACUGCCUUCGAUACUGGCGAUCUUGAGUCCGGAAGAGGUGAGUGGAACUCCUAGUGUAGAGGUGGAAUUCGUAGAUAUUCGCAAGAACACCGAUGGCGAAGGCAAUCCCCUGGACCUGUACUGACGCUCAUGCACGAAAGCGUGGGGAGCAAACAGG
rnacentral:rRNA from 1 species